rnacentral:misc_RNA from 1 species
UGGAAGUAAAAGUCGUAACAAGGUUUCUGUAGGUGAACCUGCAGAAGGAUCAUUAGUGAAAGUUUCGGGCCUGCCAUACGGACGCAAACACGUCUCUGGCGCCCAUCACUAUAUCCAUACCAACCCCUGUGCACUGUGAUGACGAAUGUCAUCGAACAAAAAAAAACUCGUAUGGUUGAAUGUACGUGAAAUUGUAGGUAUAGCCUACGAACUAUACACAACUUUCGACAACGGAUCUCUUGGUUCUCCCAUCGAUGAAGAACGCAGCGAAACGCGAUAGGUAAUGUGAAUUGCAGAAUUCCGUGAAUCAUCGAAUCUUUGAACGCACCUUGCGCUCCAUGGUAUUCCGUGGAGCAUGCCUGUUUGAGUGCCGCGAAUUCUCCCUCCCCUUACGGUGGCCGAAAGGCCGAAGUAGGGCGGACGGGGUAGGAUGGGUGUUUGCUGCCUGGGGAUUGUACCAGGCUCGCCCGAAAUGCAUAAGCGCCAGGACCCUCGCUACCGCUCUCUAGGGAAGAGUGGCUAAGCGACCGCUGAGCAUGGCAUGAUACGUCAUUUGCUGUGUGUGGGCGGCCGGUUGGAGAGGUGUCUGCUUUACCAGCCCUAUUUUAAUUCUGGUCUCAAAUCAGGUAGGAUCACCCGCUGAACCUAAGCAUAUCAAUAAGCGGAGGA